rnacentral:pre_miRNA from 1 species
CCGCUGGUGCCGACGAUCGCCGGGACCGGCACUUUCGCGGCGGACGAGCUGGUAACCUCUGCGAUCGUUCGGUGAUG